GAACCGACACUAUCUGGUGUGCUCUUAAUGAAUUUGGAGCAUGAAGUGGAGUCUGAUCACUCAUUAUCAUAUCAACAGGUCCUGAAAGGGAGUACAUGCCCCACUAUGCUCAAAGGAUGCCAUAUUGUCAACUCAGUUUGUCAUGCAGAUCAUGAUGUACUGUCAGAAAGUAGUCAUAUGUCCUCGAGAUGCUGCGGGCCACAUGGGGUGAU